rnacentral:rRNA from 1 species
CCUACGGGAGGCAGCAGUGGGGAAUAUUGCACAAUGGGGGGAACCCUGAUGCAGCGACGCCGCGUGAGUGAAGAAGUAUUUCGGUAUGUAAAGCUCUGUCAGCAGGGAAGAAGAAAGACGGUACCUGACCAAGAAGCCCCGGCUAACUACGUGCCAGCAGCCGCGGUAAUACGUAGGGGGCAAGCGUUAUCCGGAUUUACUGGGUGUAAAGGGAGCGUAGACGGCAGGGCAAGUCUGGAGUGAAAGGCCGGGGCCCAACCCCUGGACUGCUCUGGAAACUGUCCGGCUGGAGUGCAGGAGAGGUAAGUGGAAUUCCUAGUGUAGCGGUGAAAUGCGUAGAUAUUAGGAGGAACACCAGUGGCGAAGGCGGCUUACUGGACUGUAACUGACGUUGAGGCUCGAAAGCGUGGGGAGCAAACAGGAUUAGAUACCCUUGUAGUC